rnacentral:rRNA from 1 species
AACAGAGACCACGAGCGUUAUUCAUCGGAACUGGGCGUAAAGGGUGCGUAGGUGGAUAUUGUUGAGAAGGCUUGGUAGAAAUGCUUGUGUAUCGACACAAAUCUAAUCUUGCAACAUAUAUCUAUUGAGAUACAUAGAGGUUAAUGGAAAGCGACGUUGAAAGGGCUAAAGCUCAAACAUGUCGAGUAACACCUUAGGCGAAAGCGAUUAAUCAGAUGUAGUCUGACACUGAGGCACGAAACUUGUGGGAGCAAGAGGG